rnacentral:rRNA from 1 species
CGCGUGUACUGGUCCGGCCGGGCCUUUCCCUCUGUGGAACCCCAUGCCCUUCACUGGGUGUGGCGGGGAAACAGGACUUUUACUUUGAAAAAAUUAGAGUGCUCCAGGCAGGCCUAUGCUCGAAUACAUUAGCAUGGAAUAAUAGAAUAGGACGUGUGGUUCUAUUUUGUUGGUUUCUAGGACCGCCGUAAUGAUUAAUAGGGACAGUCGGGGGCAUCAGUAUUCAAUUGUCAGAGGUGAAAUUCUUGGAUUUAUUGAAGACUAACUACUGCGAAAGCAUUUGCCAAGGAUGUUUUCAUUAAUCAGGAACGAAAGUUAGGGGAUCGAAGACGAUCAGAUACCGUCGUAGUCUUAACCAUAAACUAUGCCGACUAGGGAUCGGACGAUGUUAUUUUUUGACUCGUUCGGCACCUUACGAGAAAUCAAAGUGCUUGGGCUCCAGGGGGAGUAUGGUCGCAAGGCUGAAACUUAAAGAAAUUGACGGAAGGGCACCACCAGGGGUGGAGCCUGCGGCUUAAUUUGACUCAACACGGGGAAACUCACCAGGUCCAGACACAAUGAGGAUUGACAGAUUGAGAGCUCUUUCUUGAUUUUGUGGGUGGUGGUGCAUGGCCGUUCUUAGUUGGUGGAGUGAUUUGUCUGCUUAAUUGCGAUAACGAACGAGACCUUAACCUGCUAAAUAGCCCGUAUUGCUUUGGCAGUACGCUGGCUUCUUAGAGGGACUAUCGG